GUGCGGAUCCGUAGCGAAAGCGAGUCUGAAUAGGGCGCUUAGUUAGUAGUGGUAGACGCGAAACCGUGUGAUCUACCCAUGGGCAGGGUGAAGCUGUGGUAACACAUAGUGGAGGCCCGAACCGGUUGACGUUGAAAAGUCUUCGGAUGACCUGUGGGUAGGGGUGAAAGGCCAAUCAAACUCCGUGAUAGCUGGUUCUCCCCG
rnacentral:rRNA from 1 species